rnacentral:rRNA from 1 species
UACGAAGGGGGCUAGCGUUGUUCGGAAUUACUGGGCGUAAAGCGCACGUAGGCGGACAUUUAAGUCAGGGGUGAAAUCCCAGAGCUCAACUCUGGAACUGCCUUUGAUACUGGGUGUCUGGAGUAUGGAAGAGGUGAGUGGAAUUCCGAGUGUAGAGGUGAAAUUCGUAGAUAUUCGGAGGAACACCAGUGGCGAAGGCGGCUCACUGGUCCAUUACUGACGCUGAGGUGCGAAAGCGUGGGGAGCAAACGGG